rnacentral:rRNA from 1 species
UACGGGGGGUGCGAGCGUUGUCCGGAAUCACUGGGCGUAAAGGGCGCGUAGGUGGUUUGAUAAGGGAGUGGUGAAAGUCCGGAGCUCAACUCCGGAUCUGCCGUGCCGACUGUCAAACUCGAGGGCUGUAGAGGCAGACGGAAUUCCGGGUGUAGCGGUGGAAUGCGUAGAGAUCCGGAGGAAGACCGGUGGCGAAGGCGUUCUGCUGGGCAGUUUCUGACACUGAGGCGCGACAGCGUGGGGAGCAAACAGG